GUCCCCUCUUUAGCAGCACAUAUACUAAAAUAUGAACAAUACAGAAAAGAUUAGUAUAGUCCCUGCACAAGACAUGUUAAAAAAAAAAAAAAAGACUAUACCAAAUACUU